UACGGAGGGAGCUAGCGUUGUUCGGAAUUACUGGGCGUAAAGCGCGCGUAGGCGGCCAUUCAAGUGACGGGUGAAAGCCCUCGGCUUAACCGAGGAACUGCCUGUCAGACUGGAUGGCUCGAGACCGGGAGAGGUGAGUGGAAUUCCCAGUGUAGCGGUGAAAUGCGUAGAUAUCGGGAGGAACACCAGUGGCGAAGGCGACUUCCUGGCCUGUUCUUGACGCUGAGGCGCGAAAGCCAGGGGAGCAAACAGG
rnacentral:rRNA from 1 species